GCUCCACCGAAAGAAAAAGAGUGGCGAACGGGUGAGUAACACGUGGGUAACCUGCCCAUCAGAAGGGGAUAACACUUGGAAACAGGUGCUAAUACCGUAUAACACUAUUUUCCGCAUGGAAGAAAGUUGAAAGGCGCUUUUGCGUCACUGAUGGAUGGACCCGCGGUGCAUUAGCUAGUUGGUGAGGUAACGGCUCACCAAGGCAACGAUGCAUAGCCGACCUGAGAGGGUGAUCGGCCACACUGGGACUGAGACACGGCCCAGACUCCUACGGGAGGCAGCAGUAGGGAAUCUUCGGCAAUGGACGAAAGUCUGACCGAGCAACGCCGCGUGAGUGAAGAAGGUUUUCGGAUCGUAAAACUCUGUUGUUAGAGAAGAACAAGGAUGAGAGUAAAAUGUUCAUCCCUUGACGGUAUCUAACCAGAAAGCCACGGCUAACUACGUGCCAGCAGCCGCGGUAAUACGUAGGUGGCAAGCGUUGUCCGGAUUUAUUGGGCGUAAAGCGAGCGCAGGCGGUUUCUUAAGUCUGAUGUGAAAGCCCCCGGCUCAACCGGGGAGGGUCAUUGGAAACUGGGAGACUUGAGUGCAGAAGAGGAGAGUGGAAUUCCAUGUGUAGCGGUGAAAUGCGUAGAUAUAUGGAGGAACACCAGUGGCGAAGGCGGCUCUCUGGUCUGUAACUGACGCUGAGGCUCGAAAGCGUGGGGAGCGAACAGGAUUAGAUACCCUGGUAGUCCACGCCGUAAACGAUGAGUGCUAAGUGUUGGAGGGUUUCCGCCCUUCAGUGCUGCAG
rnacentral:rRNA from 1 species